AUUGAACGCUGGCGGCAGGCUUAACACAUGCAAGUCGAGCGGGGUGAUGGUGCUUGCACUAUCACUUAGCGGCGGACGGGUGAGUAAUGCUUAGGAAUCUGCCUAUUAGUGGGGGACAACAUCUCGAAAGGGAUGCUAAUACCGCAUACGUCCUACGGGAGAAAGCAGGGGAUCACUUGUGACCUUGCGCUAAUAGAUGAGCCUAAGUCGGAUUAGCUAGUUGGUGGGGUAAAGGCCUACCAAGGCGACGAUCUGUAGCGGGUCUGAGAGGAUGAUCCGCCACACUGGGACUGAAACACGGCCCAGAGUCCUACGGGAGGAAGCAGUGGGGAAUAUUGGAGAAUGGGGGGAACCCUGAUCCAGCCAUGCCGCGUGUGUGAAGAAGGCCUUAUGGUUGUAAAGCACUUUAAGCGAGGAGGAGGCUCUUUUGGUUAAUACCCAAGAUGAGUGGACGUUACUCGCAGAAUAAGCACCGGCUAACUCUGUGCCAGCAGCCGCAGUAA
rnacentral:rRNA from 1 species